rnacentral:misc_RNA from 1 species
AUUGAGAUUAUGGUGAAAGCAAGGAGCCAGUUCAAGGAGCGAAGCACCGCAACAAAUGUUGAGAUCGAGUUGCCUGUCCCAGCAGAUGCUACCAACCCAAAUGUUCGGACCUCAAUGGGGUCUGCUUCUUAUGCACCAGAAAAUGAUGCAUUAUGCUGGAAAAUAAGAUCGUUUCCAGGUGGCAAGGAAUAUAUGUUAAGGGCAGAGUUUCGCCUGCCUUCAAUUACAUCUGAAGAAGCAACUCCAGAGAGAAAAGCGCCAAUUCGUGUAAAGUUUGAGAUACCAUACUUCACUGUUUCUGGAAUCCAGG